AACUUUCAAUAAUAGAUCUCUUGGUUCUAGUAUUAAUAAAGAAUAUAGUGAAAUAUAAAAAGUAAUAUAAAUUGUAGAAUUUAGUAAAUUAUCAAAUCUUUAAAUAUAUAUUAUACCUACUAGUAUUCUAGUAGGUAUAUUUAUUCGAGUAUUA
rnacentral:rRNA from 1 species